rnacentral:rRNA from 1 species
AUUGAACGCUGGCGGCAGGCUUAACACAUGCAAGUCGAGCGGAGAUGAGGUGCUUGCACCUUCUCUUAGCGGCGGACGGGUGAGUAAUGCUUAGGAAUCUGCCUAUUAGUGGGGGACACCAUUCCGAAAGGAAUGCUAAUACCGCCUACGCCAUACGAGCGAAAGCAGGGGAUCUUCGGCGCUGGCGCUAAUAGAUGAGCCUAAGUCGGAUUAGCUAGUUGGGGGGGUAAAGGCCUACCAAGGCCACGUUAUGUAGCGGGUCUGAGAGGAUGAUCCGCCACACUGGGACUGAGACACGGCCCAGACUCCUACGGGAGGCAGCAGUGGGGAAUAUUGGACAAUGGGCGGAAGCCUGAUCCAGCCAUGCCGCGUGUGUGAAGAAGGCCUUUUGGUUGUAAAGCACUUUAAGCGAGGAGGAGGCUACCUGGAUUAAUACUCUAGGAUAGUGGACGUUACUCGCAGAAUAAGCACCGGCUAACUCUGUGCCAGCCGCCGCGGUAAAAC